rnacentral:misc_RNA from 1 species
CGCACCUCAUGGCCCUCAAGCGCGUGCGCGAAGAGGCUGCCGAGAACGGCGAGGCCGGCCUCGGCGACACACUGGUCUCCCAACUCCCGAAGAAGCGUCCUGAGGUGGCUGUCUGCACCUCCAGCUCCGCAUUGAGCCCUUUCACGCGGCAACCCUUCUCAGCCCGCUACCGUCAGCUGUUGCAGUCGCGUCAGCGACUUCCUGUGUUCGAGAAGCGCCACCUUAUACAGGAGACGGUGCGAACCAACUCUGUCACGUUGCUCGUGGGCGAGACGGGCAGCGGCAAGACGACGCAGGUUCCUCACUUUCUUGCGGAGCUGCAGGACACCUUCACCGGCGUCAUCGCAUGUACGCAGCCACGUCGUAUCGCGGCCAUCUCCGUUGCCACUCGCGUGGCCGAAGAAAUGGACGUGCCCCUCGGUGCGCAUGUCGGCUACCACGUCCGCUUCGACUCGCGCCAGUGCGACGCCACGCGGGUGCUCUACAUGACGGAUGGCAUGCUGCUCCGUGAAGCGUUCACGGAUUCGGACCUCCAAAAAUACAGUGUUGUGGUGGUGGACGAGGCGCACGAGCGGACGAUCGACACGGAUGUGGUUCUCGGCCUCCUGAAGCGACUCCUCACACGGCGUCCGCUUUUCCGACUGGUGGUCAUGUCGGCCACGCUGGACGUGGCAAAGAUUCAGUCCUACUUCCCCGGUGCGCCCCUCGUGCACGUCUCGGGGCGCAUGCACGACGUGGACGUCUUGUACAUGCCACAUCCGGUGCGCGAUUACGUGGAGGCGACUGUGUCGUGCGUGCUUCAGCUGCAUGAGCGCGAGCCGGCCGGGGAUAUCCUCUGCUUCUUGACUGGCGAGGCGGAGAUUGAGCGGGCUGUCGCGGCACUUCACCAGGCCCUCGGCUCGAGCUCUGCGGCCGCCUCCAAGGAGCACGAAGCGCCGGUGCAGGGGCCCGGAAAGGACUUGACGCUUUUCAAUACGCCGGCGGACGACCUGGCGCGGCCGGCGCGGCCGACGGAGGUGGUGGUGCUGCCUCUCUACGGUUCUCUUAGCCUCCAGGAGCAGCAGAAGGUGUUUGCCACCUAUCCCCCCAACACGCGCAAGAUUGUCGUGGCCACGAACAUUGCCGAGACGUCCGUCACCAUUGACGGCAUUGUCUACGUUGUGGACUGCGGGUAUCAGAAGCAGAGCUUGUACAACUCCGAGGCACGCGUGGACUACUUGCUGCCGGCGGUUAUUAGCAAGGCCUCCGCCGAACAGCGCAAGGGUCGCGCUGGUCGUACGCGGCCUGGCAAGUGCUUCCGCCUCUUCACGUCGGCCGACUUUGCCACUUUUCCCGAUCAAACGCAUCCGGAGAUACUACGCACGAACAUUGUGAACACCGUGCUGCUGCUGCUCACGCUUGGCGUCGCUAACCCGUGUGAGUUCCCCUUCAUCGACCCGCCCUCGGACCAGGGCAUGAGCGACGCCUUCUACCAGCUCUUGUACUUCGGCGCCGUGGAUGACGGGCUUCAGCUCACGGACUUUGGCCGACGCAUGGCCGUAUUCCCUGUGGACGUCUGCUUGGCACGAAUGCUGCUCAUGGCCCCCAAGCACGGGUGCGGUGCCGACGCCGCGGUGGUGGCGGCGAUGCUGGAGGCUGGAAACGCGUUCAGCCGCCCGCCAUCGCGGUUGGCCGAGGCUCGCGAGGCGCACGCGCGCUUCGACGACGCCGACGGCGACCACGUUGUGCUCUUUCGCGUCUUUCACGCGUACUUCAAGAACCAGCAGAACGGCAAACGCUUCUGCUACGAGAACUACCUACGACACCAGACCCUACAGCAAGCGGUGCAGGUGUACAACCAGCUGCGGCGGUUAAUGAGCCAACUCACGAUACCAGUGCAGUCCACCUACAUCCCGGAGCGCGAGUACGUGGACACGGUGGCGCUCCGCAAGGCCGUGCUGGAGGGAUUCUUCACACAGGUCGCCUUCUUGACUCCCGUGGCACCCAUCACCCAUACAGCUGGAGCGGACCCGACGACGCGCGUCUACCGCACCGUCCGGGACGCCUUGAGUGUGACGCUGCAUCGUCAGUCCGUGCUUGCGGCGACGCACAAGUCACGCGCGCUUCCGACCUGGAUCGUGUUUGACCGUCUGGAAGUGCAAGGGGACUCCGGGACGUUUAUCCGAACCGCCUCAGCAGUGGAGGUGGGCUGGCUGCUGGACGUCAGUGACUUCUACACGGACCUCAGCGAAAUCCCAGACGGCGAGAUUGCGCAGGUGCUGCGCCGUGCUUGUGAGGCGGAAAGUAGCGUACACGCGGGCAAAGCCGAGCGCGAGAGUGUGUAGCGCGGCGCCGGAGACCGCAGCGGCGUGCUUGCCAUUUUCGAGCCCCGUUCCUUAACCGUGUUCCAUGGCCGCGAACGAUGGGAGGACUCCUACUCGCUGAUUCCCCUUCAUCGCUUU